UACAGAGGGGCAAGCGUUAUUCGGAAUUAUUGGGCGUAAAGGGCGCGUAGGCGGUCGUGCAAGUGGAUGGUGAAAUCCCCGGGCUUAACCUGGGAACUGCCGUCCAAACUGCUUGACUUGAGUCCGGGAGAAGGUGAGUGGAAUUCCCAGUGUAGCGGUGAAAUGCGUAGAUAUCGGGAGGAACACCUAUUGUGAAGGCAGCUCGCUGGGACGUAACUGACGCUGAGAACGCGAAAGCGUGGGGAGCAAACAGG
rnacentral:rRNA from 1 species